UCUCCACGCGCCAAUAAUUAUCAUUAUAGCCGAGUACAGGAAAAUGAAUCUAGUUGCACAAGUGAGCGAGGGAAGGAAACGAAGCUGUACCUCCCAAAAGCACGAGCACAAAAACAGCAAAAACAGAAGAAGCGGAGCUGCAACGGCGAGCAGCGACUUCGCGGACCGACCGUCGUUACGCAGGAAGCGUUUUGCCGACGCUCCGCUCCUCGGGUUGGCGCGCGCGGCUCGGACCCGCACCCGCACCCGCACGUCACGGCGGGGGACUCGAGACGAAUAUAAAAAGAAGCAGAAUGCAGAACGAACAGACUAGUGAGUUGGGGGAGAAAAGCCCCUUUCGGACACCUCCAGCUCGGAUGUUAAGGAAGAAGGAAGAAGGAAGAAGGAAGCGAGCGGUCGGGAAACCAGCAGCAGCAGUCCGUCGGAGUGCUGGGAGAGGGGCUGCGCGCGCGGGAUUUGCAUAUUAUUUGGGAGCUCUAAUUUGCUUUAUGAAUCUAAAUAUGGACGCAUACACAUUCCCUGCUACGUCAUUUAGACGUGACCCCCCGUGAAAGCAGCGCGGAUGUGCGCGAGUCACUCGGAUUAUGGAGCCGGCGUUGUUGUCGCGACUGUUCUCUCCGACACACGAUGGAUGGAUACAUUGAUUUAUCUCUCCGAUCAAUGGAUACAUUGAUUGAUUUAUCCCUCCGAUCAAUGGAAGAGCAACCUGGGCGGGAAACUGGGCGCUUUUUUCCCUCUGGAAUUAUACUUCGCCGGAGUGGGAGUUUUUCAUUAAAGCAUAUGAACGUACAGUUAGUAAGAAGUGAAGUUAAUGUUACUGAAUCAAUGUUCUCCUGCAUCCCGGGACACGAGAGUUAUUUAUUAAUAUGGUCAUUUACGGGGAAAGGUCUGCGUGCGAUAUACGUUAAAUGUGAAAAUACAUUAUGCACACACUUUAUUAACUUGCUAAAUUAAAUUAUUUCGCCUUCGUCUAUUCCGUGGAACUGUUGCCCCUUAUAUUUGCUCCUGCUAAUUUUACCAUAGUAUAAAUUACCUGAGAAAGCUGUUCGUAGGUCAGCGUCAAAUCCCAAAUGUUUCAGAAUUAUUUAUGAUACAAUUAGAAUAUUGUGAUAAACGUGUCCAAAGGAAGUGCACGUUUUUAAGGAAAUACUAAUGAAGAAAAACCGUGUAGUACAUGUGCGGUGAAACGUAGGUUUUCCUCUCAAAUGCGUCACCCCCCGCAUUAAAGCGCGCGGUGCGAGUCAACAUGUUUCGGUAACUUACAUUAUAGAAAUGUGUUUUAUUUUUUAUUUUUUUUUUUUUUCUCUCUGUCUCCCCCUCCCCAAUGUCAGAAGAGUGGGCCCAGCUGCUGGGAAGGACACAAAGUGCAGGAGAGAGAAGGCCAACAAUGAGCUUUCCCUUCACAUCCGACAAAAGAAGCGAAGAACUUGUUUGAAUUUCUGGGCACGCGCGGAGGGACGGACUCCAGGGCGACCGGCCCCCCAGAACGGGCUCGUUCCCAUCCUGAGCUCCGCUCCACUCCACUCUAUUCCACUCCACUCCACUCCGCUGUUCGGUGCUGAACACAAACGUGCCGUGACAAGUUUGCAAGUUUUUUUUUUUUUUUUUUCCUCUCUCUCUUCCCACCUUCUUUCUCCAUCUCUUCUCUUUGACUCGCUCCCUUCCUCCUCCUCUUCCUCCUCCUCCUCCUCGUCGCCUCUUCUGGUUGGAAUAUCUUCUGCACAAGUUCUCCGCGCAUUAGCGGCACUUUGGAAACGGCGGCGAGACCGUGGAUCACUGGAUAUGUGACAGGCGCCCUGAAAACACACCUUGCACUUUUUCGAAGAACUGCCGUCUUGGAUGAUUUGGGACGUGACUUAGGACGUCUGGGCUCCGGCACCUUCGCUCCGACUGUGACUGAAGUGUGGAAGGAGAAACGGUCGACGUCCAAACUCUCCUGUGAGUAGCAGACACUUGAAGGUGAGCGAAGUCCUACCAAGACCCUCAAGAAAUAACAUGUGGAACUCGGCACUUUGCGGAGGAUGCCGUAGGCGCCCGAGGCGUCCGUCACCUCCCCAGGUUCCUAGUCACGGGACGCUUCUGUCCCCCGGUAAGAAAAAACACGUAAUCCAGACCGCAUUUUGUGUCCGUCUCAGAAAUGUUGUCAAUAUAACAACCGUCGCCCAUUCGUUCAACCCCAAACUCUUCAUUCAUACAUUUUUAAUCCCGAACUUCUGCUCAUAACAGCAAGAAGAACUUAAACAAGUACAGUCUGUGGUUUUAACGUUUUUUUUUCCUUUUCCUGCUACCAAAAUGUAUUAUUUACUCGACCGACCGAGUGCCGCAUCGCAACGGAGGCGAUUUGACAGGACUUGAGAGGCGAUGGUCCCCUGCGGCCGCCACCCCGGCGGAGUCGCCCAUGACAACGAUGGAUCUCCAUGGCUCCACGCUUGUUGUUUCAAGUUUCCUGCUGGAGGAAAACACACGUUUGUAUCUCUCACACAUUCAUCUUCUGUUUAAACCUCAGUAGAUUUCACUGUGAUGUUUGCAAAUACAAACAUGCUCAUUUCCUUGUAUGUGCCUGCGAAACGUAAUAAAGACUCU